rnacentral:rRNA from 1 species
UACAGAGGUCUCAAGCGUUGUUCGGAUUCAUUGGGCGUAAAGGGUGCGUAGGUGGCAUGGUAAGUUGAAGGUGAAAUCUCGGAGCUCAACUCCGAAACUGCCUUCAAUACUGCUGUGCUUGAGGACUGUAGAGGAAGGUGGAAUUCCACGUGUAGCGGUGAAAUGCGUAGAGAUGUGGAGGAACACCGAUGGCGAAGGCAGCCUUCUGGGCCAACACUGACGCUCAUGCACGAAAGCGUGGGGAGCAAACAGG